rnacentral:rRNA from 1 species
ACGGGAGGCAGCAGUAGGGAAUCUUCCGCAAUGACGAAAGUCUGACGGAGCAACGCCGCGUGAGUGAUGAAGGUUUUCGGAUCGUAAAGCUCUGUUGUUAGGGAAGAACAAGUGCAAGAGUAACUGCUUGCACCUUGACGGUACCUAACCAGAAAGCCACGGCUAACUACGUGCCAGCAGCCGCGGUAAUACGUAGGUGGCAAGCGUUGUCCGGAAUUAUUGGGCGUAAAGGGCUCGCAGGCGGUUUCUUAAGUCUGAUGUGAAAGCCCCCGGCUCAACCGGGGAGGGUCAUUGGAAACUGGGAAACUUGAGUGCAGAAGAGGAGAGUGGAAUUCCACGUGUAGCGGUGAAAUGCGUAGAGAUGUGGAGGAACACCAGUGGCGAAGGCGACUCUCUGGUCUGUAACUGACGCUGAGGAGCGAAAGCGUGGGGAGCGAACAGGAUUAGAUACCCUGGUAGUCCACGCCGUAAACGAUGAGUGCUAAGUGUUAGGGGGUUUCCGCCCCUUAGUGCUGCAGCUAACGCAUUAAGCACUCCGCCUGGGGAGUACGGUCGCAAGACUGAAACUCAAAGGAAUUGACGGGGGCCCGCACAAGCGGUGGAGCAUGUGGUUUAAUUCGAAGCAACGCGAAGAACCUUACCAGGUCUUGACAUCCUCUGACAACCCUAGAGAUAGGGCUUUCCCUUCGGGGACAGAGUGACAGGUGGUGCAUGGUUGUCGUCAGCUCGUGUCGUGAGAUGUUGGGUUAAGUCCCGCAACGAGCGCAACCCUUGAUCUUAGUUGCCAGCAUUYAGUUGGGCACUCUAAGGUGACUGCCGGUGACAAACCGGAGGAAGGUGGGGAUGACGUCAAAUCAUCAUGCCCCUUAUGACCUGGGCUACACACGUGCUACAAUGGACAGAACAAAGGGCUGCGAGACCGCAAGGUUUAGCCAAUCCCACAAAUCUGUUCUCAGUUCGGAUCGCAGUCUGCAACUCGACUGCGUGAAGCUGGAAUCGCUAGUAAUCGCGG